UCAUCUUCCACGCGAAACCCUACCCAAUCCCCGUCGCCGCCGCUCUGCUCGUCUCUCCCCAAUCCCACCUCUCUCCUCUCGCGUCCCCUGCUCUUCCCACGUCCGCCGGCGUGUGGCGAGGCUGCGAUGACCAACACCGAGCAGCGGCAACGGCAGUCCGCGGUCGCCCUCCACGGGACCAGCGGUAGGGCUCGUGGUGGGUUUGUGAGGAGCAGGACGGGCCUGGGCGGGGCUCAACAGCGCGAGGAAUCGCCGGAGGCGGCCGGCGAGGGAGGCGGCGCGAAGGGAGGUAGGGCUUGCGAGGGAGGCGGCGCGAAGGAAGGGAGGGAGGAGGCGGCCGGCGAGGGAGGCGGCGCGAUGCCACGAGCCCUACGUCGACGUCCUCACUGCGGCCAAGAAGCGGCAGAUGGGUCGGCGAUGGAGGCGAUGUGAAGGUAGGGAGGGCUUCCGCGGCGGACGAGCAGUGGAGAAGAUUUAUAUGCCUUUCAUCAGGCUGCAAUUAUCGCUGCUGAAGACAUGGAGAGAAGCAACGGAUCGGAGCUUCGGGAUACUUUAUAGGCUGUAUGUUCUUCCUUUACCCGGUUACACACAGCUCUACAUAGGAUCUGGAUGGUACACCAGGAGAUUGAGUUGUGGAUCUAAUGAGAUCAUCAUAUGAAGUAAGGCUGUAAAGUGGGGACUUUAUUGAUCAGGAAGGAUUACAUAACGAUGGAUGUAUACCAACUGAAGGGGAUCUUCAGGUCCUCUCUUCUCGGAAUAAUCAUUAUUGCUCAUGCUUAAACCUUCUGUUGGUGCACUACAUGAGUUGUUGCAACAAUUGAUGUUGUCGAGGCUUGCAGUGGUGUGAAUGUUCAGGUUAUGGUUGGUGGAAUAUAAAGGACGGAUCUUAUGUCUAAGAAUAUUUACAAAUCUCAACAAUCUGGGCAAGUUCAUGUAGCUCCAAAUUGCAAGGUUAUGGUUGUUGCCAAUCCAGCAAACACCAGUACUCUUAUAUUGACAGAGUAUUCUCUAUCUAUCCUUGAGAAGAAAUAACAGAUAUUUUACUCUCCUAGACCAGGACAAGGUACUCAAUCAGAUUUCCUAGAGACUCAUGUUGGUGCAUAAUGCAAUCUUUCCUGACCUCUCUCUCACAUGCAUACAUACACACGAAAUGAAAGAUUUCAGCUAGGCCAUAAAAGACAAAAGUUUGAGCAAACAAUUGGGUGUCUGUUCUGACUAAUCAAGAUGUGCGACAUAAUCAUCGUCAGGUCUCAGGUUGUCCCGUGUGUAUUUGCCGUGGAGGGUCUACUGUGAGGGUUGUAGCUGCAGGAGAUAGGGUCAGUACUCCUGAUGGGACAACGACUGUUAUGGCUGCGGUACAAGUAUGCUUAUCCUACUAACAUCUUUGUUGCCUCUUUCUUCUCCUGGGUAUUUUCAUAUGCUCUAUUUUUGUUCCCCAUUCUUAGAGGUACACUGUACAGAUGAUUUGUCGUUGGUCAUUAACUACUGGGGAAGUUGGAGAGUAGCGGAAAUUAUACGACCACGGUCUCUUGUGCUAAUCAUCUCUAAACUUUGCUUUGUCUUUUUUGCAUUUGUUAUACUAAAUUUUUAAUAUUGUAGUCCUGAGGUAUCCACUAAUACGGAAACUCAUAUGUAUUUACAUAUGGAUGUUUGUUCUGUGUUUAGUAAUGAUCCCGAUGUAUCUUCAAUGGAUAAAAUUAAAACAAUAUUACUUCAUUAUUUAAAUAUGAUACUAUUGUGCUCUUCUCUAUGUUUUUGCUAUGAAAGCAUAAUUCAGAUUUUGCUAGGUUGCUUAAGUUUUUAUUGUUUACACAAUUUAACAUUGUUGUGCAAAAUUGUUGUGCAAUCUCUUCGUCGGUGCACUGGCGGAAGGACGAACAACGGCCGUCCAAGCUUUCCUCCUCCUCCAGCAAUGGAGCCCCCAGCAUGGGUCACGUGGAAAACCUUGAAGGUGGAGAGGGAAGCCUUGCAAAGAAGCAGCACCCUCAUGUGCGGAGCUGAUGGCCAGCAUCCAACUCAGCCGUCACCGGCCAUGGCGUCCAACCUACAGACUGCUGCAGACGCUCCUCAUAACACGGUUGGAGGAAGGGCUUGCCGCAGAGACGAGCAGUUCAAUCACCGUCUCAUAUGUCAGCACCCCACGGCAUGCGAGUGUAUAAACAAAUGGGGAUGUGUUAUCACUCUCAUCCUUGCCCCCUUCAGGAGCUCCUCAUUGGUGCAGCUCUUGGAUCUCGCCGGCCCGGAUCGACAUAGCUUUUGCAUCUACAGGUACCAUGUACAUCAUGUCCCAUGUGGCUCAACUUCCUGGAUAGCCAAGAGAUUUCUACUGUAGAAACUUCAAGUGCCAAAAGACAUUUGGACUGGGAAAGUGUUACAAUUCACCAUUACAGAUGGAGCAAUUACACAGAUAUUUCCAUGAAAACUGCAUGUCCAGGUAUAUUCUAAAGGAAGAAGAUGAAAUUGGCCCCUGUUUGUCUGGAAGGAUGCCGACAAGCAUUGCAGCUGUCUGCCCUCCUCCGCCGUUUGUGUACUUGGUUAUCAAUGGUGAACCGGGGUUGGUGACAAGGAUGGAGAGGUGGAAGUACUUACCUUAGGAGGAGACAGCGGCCAGCUCGGCGACUGGAUGCCGUCCUGUUGGAUCAGGACAUGGUCAAGCUGAAUCCGACUAAAUCUGGCUCAGCUUUGCCUAUCGUGAUGAAGAGGAGAUGGUGAUGUUCGCGGUGAUCGCUGAAGCGCCUAGACCCUAGCAGCUGAGAAGCCUUUGGCCUGUACCGAAGAAAGUAUGAAAUGGAGAUUGAAUUCUGCAGUACUUGCGUACUUGGUCACCAUUAUUCUGCCCAAAAGGUUUAGCUGAGAAUGCCUUGUGUUAUUCGGACAAUUGAGCAACAGAAGCAUAUGCAAGUUUGAAUCGGGAUUUUUUGCUUUGAGACUGGUAGUGACUCACCAUAUUACCUCAAGCUUCAAUACGAAAGCAAGAUUGAAAAGUACAGGGUCUCACCGAGUUUCAGCGGUAGAGCUGCUGUUGGACGAGAGCCUGAGACGGCGGCCUGUCGGCGGUCGCGGUGGGCAAAAGCAGGCGGCGAGGCGACCAGGUGCAGGCGUCCAUGGAGCUCUCAGCUCUGUCGCUGCUGCAAGUUGCCAUGCGGCCGGCCCGCUGCCUCCACCAGCUAGCUUCUCCCGUCGUCCCAAUCUCAACUGUUUAUUCUCAAUCCGUUGGGAAUAAAGAAUCAAGGACCAAGGAUAGGAGCUAGAGCUGCACGUGAAGAGGGAUUGGAGAUUUUGUUCGACAUGGAGAGAGCUGAAGCUGCACGUGAAGAUGGAUUGGGGAUUUUGGUCGACAUAGAGAGAGAGAGCAGAGUUGGACAGAUUUUUGCUAGAUGUACCAACUUCUCUACCAAAUCAGUGAAUGACAGUGAUGUCAGAUGUUGUAACUUGUGGCUUCAGUGGUAGUACUCCGGGUAGUACUCCUAGCCGUAGUUCAAAAAUAGCCAAAAAAAACUUCCAAACUAUGCUUGUUUAUUUUAUUUUUUUGCCACAAAGUGAUAUUGGAAGGAAAAAACUCCCAGGCUGGAUUUUAAAUUAA